rnacentral:sRNA from 1 species
UAAAGGUUAACUUACAUGUGUCACUCUAUUCGCCUACUAAACCUACUACUACUCGCCUUAAAUGCGCGCGGUGUAAUGGUGGGUGAAAGACUGAAUUAAGUUAACCCCCAUUAAAAAACCCGCGCAUGGCGCGGGUUUUUUU